rnacentral:rRNA from 1 species
UACGGGGGGGGCAAGCGUUGUUCGGAAUUACUGGGCGUAAAGGGCUCGUAGGCGGCCAACUAAGUCAGACGUGAAAUCCCUCGGCUUAACCGGGGAACUGCGUCUGAUACUGGAUGGCUUGAGUUCGGGAGAGGGAUGCGGAAUUCCAGGUGUAGCGGUAGAAAUGCGUAGAUAUCUGGAGGAACACCGGUGGCGAAGGCGGCAUCCUGGACCGAUACUGACGCUGAGGAGCGAAAGCCAGGGGAGCAAACGGG